GAUUCCAUAGUGUAGUGGUUAGCAUGUCUGCUUUACAUGCAGAAAGUCCUGGGUUCAUACCCCAAAGGAGCCA
rnacentral:tRNA from 1 species